rnacentral:rRNA from 1 species
UUGAAAGGGAAACGAUUGAAGUCAGUCGUACCGACGAGAAAUCAGCUUUUCGAAUGUGCAUUUGUGCGUAUGAGAUCUUCACUGUUUGCAAUAUGUAUGUUUCUUUGGUGUACUUUUUCGUAUGGUAGGUCAACGUCGGUUUUGGUCGCCAUAAAAUGAUCGGAGGAAUGUAGCUUCGACCUCGGUUGAAGUGUUAUAGCCUUUGGUAAAUGUGGUGAUUAGGACCGAGGAUUGCAACGAAUACCUUUUAGGCUAUCCGUCUGACCUCUGAAAGUUACUUAGGUGCCGAAAGCUUGCUUACGGUCAUUUAAGUUGACGGUCAAUAGGUUAGAACGUGAUUACAUUCGUUAAGGAUGUUGACGUA